UAACAACAAACAAAAACAGGAAACUGUGGUCAAGAAGAAAGACUGCUCCUAACCCAUUGCCAUAGCUUCAAUAUAAUUAGUGUGUAUGCACAAUAGGACAAAUAAACACGCUUUCGCCUCAAUGUACACAAAUCAAUUUACCCUCCAUAAGAAUUUCAUAAAGAUUACUACAACCAGAGCAUUUUAAAAAAAGAUAAAAAAUUUCUUUUCUUGUCCUUUUUUACACUCCAAACUUACCAUUUUUUAAUUACAAUGGACCUGGGGUGCUAUCACUGCUACGAAAGUCAGGCUACUCAAAAGAUUCAUGAGAAUCUAGGUUUAAGUGCUGGACCACUAUUUUGAUGAGAAGGACUAAGCUUUUGAAUCCAAUGAAAAAGCCCUUUCUUAUGAUCUUGGUACAAAGGGUUUUGCACCAGAGUCAAGGUUCC
rnacentral:lncRNA from 1 species